rnacentral:rRNA from 1 species
GUCAAGUGAAGAAGCGCAUAUGGUGGAUGCCUUGGCRRUCA